GGUGGCUCAGGGGUAGAGUGCUUGCCUUGCAUGCAAGAGGCCCUGGGUUUCAUUCCUCAGCACCA
rnacentral:tRNA from 1 species